rfam:Bacillus atrophaeus 1942, complete genome.
GAUACCUAAAACAAUGAAAGCCCUGCCUCUCUUCCAUCCUUACGGCUCCUUGUCCGUUCCAGUGUGAAUCAGGAUUACAAAAAACAA